CUCUGGAUGCUGAGGUGAGAGAAUCACUUAAGCCCAGGAGGUCAAGGCUGCAGUGACCUGUGUUCACGCCACUGCACUCCAGCCUGAGCAACACAGCAAGACUGUCUGAACAGCAACAACAAACACACCAAAAAAACUAGUUUACUUCGGAAAAGGGACUGUCUAGGUCUUUGAAGGGCUGAUACAGGAUCUGAGCUGACACUGUUUCCAGGAGCCCUGAAGCAUCAUGGCCCUCUCAUUAGGGUGCAGGCUUAUGGAAAUCAGAUGAUAAGCAGAAUUCCCAACCCGAGUCCUGUGGUUACUUCUCUGGUCUCAAUGCAUACUUGGGAUGUUUUUACCUAGCAGAGGGCGGAGCGUAUACAUUGAUCCCAGGCCUUUGGUACCAUAUGUAAGGAAGCGCAAAGUAGAAACCUUUGAAACUCCUCACCCUACUGAAACCUUUCCAAGAUAGUAAGUCAGAAACAAUGCUGCAUUCCAGGUGUAAUUGCAGAGGUAUUUCGCCCUCAAAGACUUAUAAAGCAGUGGUUACCGUUUCAUCCCUUCAAUUAACCUGAAUGGCUCCUGCUAAAUCUUGGUGGAUUCAAGUAAAUGAUGAUGCCCUGCACAAACUUAGCCAAGUCGUGUCCCCGAUCACACAGCUGUGCUAGGUGUGGUAUCUUUACUGGAACCGAUAAAUGCACCUCUGGCUCUUGAUAAUGCAAUUAUUGACUUGGUGAACAUUCUUUUCAAUUGCCAGUGGUAAAGAGGAUUAAAAGCAGUUCACAUUUAUAUGGGAAGGACAGCUCUGUAAAUGGUCUUGCUUCUUGCUGUCUGAACUCUCCUGUUCUCUGUCACAAUAGUCCUUAGGUAGCUUAUCAUCUAUAUUCCAUAUAACAUUGAUGAUGUCAUACUAGUUGGACAUGGUGAAGAAGGCCGUGCAUGUCAGAGGAUGAGCGAGAAGCCCUCAGAAGUUCUGGAGCCUGCCAUAUCAGUGACAUUCUCAGGGGUGCAGCGUUUGAGGGCAAGCCAGGGACAAGUUAUUGCAUCCUGCAUCCUUACAAGGAAGAAAGAGGCACAGCAUUGAGGCACCUCUGUGUUUUGGAGUCAGCAUGCACCGCGCUAGAGGAUACCUCUCUGACCCCUUUAUUGGGUAACGGGAAAACUGCCAGCUUUGAGUGGGGCCCAGAGAAAAAGAGGGCUCUGCUAAAGAUUUGGAUUGGGAGAUGGGCUUCCCUGCUGCAUAGAUCCAAUGGGUUACCGGGGGGCUUAUUUGGGGUAGGAAGGACCCUAUAUGGCAUCUCUGGCAAACUCCAACGGAAGAGUUGCAGUACACUGUCCUAGAGUUCUUGGACAAGACCAUGCCUUCUGCAGCAGAGAACUACUCGCCAAGUGAGAGCAGUAUCAGGCACACUACCAGACCCAGAGGAGUUGGUGAACAGCAGGAUGGAUGGGAUGUCAGUCAGCUGUGCCCCUGGCUACCCCUGUGCUUGAACAGUGGACUGUGAGUGGCGGCGUCAUGCAGAAGGAGCACAGGGUCCCAGGCCAGCAUCACUAUCCAGGAGCUUCAGGCAUGCUCCGUGUACCAACAUGGGAUCACGAAUCACAUCGCCUCAGGCCAAGAAAGCCAUUUUAUAGCGAAAGAGCCUUAGGAUCUGCUGGAUUAGAGCCUGUUUCCCAGGUAGGAACGCUUCCACGAGGGCACUCCUGCUGGUUGCAGGAAGGAUACCUCUGCUGAGCCUGAAUCUGCAAAGACCACCAGGUUACUCUCAGCUCCUCAUACUGGUGGACCAGCAGGCCACAAAGGAGGGGAUACUUGAUCCUGAUAAACGGUGAGGAGGUAGCGUGGCUGCUGCGUAACGGGGCAAGCAGGCAUUGAUCUGGCACUUAGAGGAUUCAUCUAGGUCUGUCUUGGUGCUUCCAUGCCAAGUAAUGACAAUGAAAAGGUCUUUUCAGCAGCCAUAGCCCCUAAGGGCUCAGAUGCCUCAGGGUGAAGGUCUGGGCAGCGUCACCAGGCAAGCCAUGGAGACAAGCUGGAAUGCUGGUGAGGGUGAGGCCAAGGAGGAGGUGGCUGCUGAAUAUCUGUUACUUGGGAGAAGCUGUGGCAGUGGGGAUUGUAUUUGUUCUGCUAAGCCUCUUGUAUUAAGGCUUUCAUAGGAGUUGUAACUAGCCUUUACUUUGAAGAAUCGUGACAGAGUAGACUCAAUAUUGUAGCUGACUAGAUCUGAGAGGGGCAGGAGAUGGUGUCUUGGCUGAUGCCCUCAGCCCACCUUUAACUGCAGUGGACACAGAGCUGCAUCUCUGCUGUGUGUCUUUGCACUUCCUGCUCCAGGCCUUCUCUGACACCAUGGCGGCCCCCUGAGCCUGUGCCGAGAUUGUGCCACUGCACUCCAGCCUGAGCAAC
ensembl:lncRNA CHKB-DT CHKB divergent transcript